UUUUUCUCUUUUUAGUACCCAAUCCCCCUUUUCUUUGUGAUCGAUUUUGGCUUUUUAAAACCGAUCUAUAAAACAUUCAUUUCCUAUUUUUUGUUUUCGUUCUUUUGUUUAUUCUUUUCCCCAUUCCUCGCAUGCUUCCUUUUGCUGUUGUUUUUGUCUCUGUUGCAGGUGUGUCCGGUGUGGGUGGUGCACGUGAUGGCCAAGGGCAGAGGUAGCAUGGGGCGACUGAUCAGAGGCGUGCAUGCGUGAGGGGAGGUGAAGCGGCGGCAGCUACAAAGCAUGAGGCUAGGGUUUUUUUGUUUGGUUGAAAACUAGUAUAGUUUGGGCCAUUCGGGCCUCUAAGGUUUUUAUCAUUAUUAGGCAUUUGGAUUGGGUUUGUUUUUUGGGUUAAUUUUGUUGUAAUGGUCUGUUAAUUUUUAUUAGUCUUGGUCCAUUUGGGUUUUAUGGUCUGGGCCUGGGCAAAAAUGGGCUUUUACAGCUGCCCCUCUUUGCUCAUUUUCGUGUAACGAGAAUAGAGCAAAGACAUCAAAAGGGCCAAUUUUGCCCGGCCUUGCCGAGUCUUGACUUUUUGGUGCUCAUCUUUUUUAAGUAGCCUUAUUCCAGCCUGCUACGUCUUGUUGCUUCGAUCCACUCUACUGCAACUUCAGAUACGCCUUGUAGCUUCAAUCUACUCUGCUACGACUCCAUGGGGAUGAGAUUUGUGUUUUUAGUGUGCUCCACUACUAUUUAGGGAGAUAAGACUGGAUGUGAUCUGCUCCACUACUACUUAGGGAGAUAAGACUGUAAUCUUCAAUCUAUUCCACUGCCAAAUACAGGGAGAUAGAGUUAUCAGCUUCAAUGUACUCCACUGUAGUUACAGGAAGGUAAAAUCUGCCAUCUUCGAUCUACUCCACCACUAGUAUGGGAAGACAAGAUCUGUAUCUUGGAUCCACUUCCUAUCAAUAUAGGAAGAUAGGACCUGCUAUCUUCGAUCUACUUCACGCCAAUACAUGAAGACAAGAUCUGCUUUCUGCGAUCUACUUCGCCACCAAUAUGGGAAGACAAGAUCUGCAUCUUCGACCCACUUCCUAUCAAUAUAGGAAGAUAGGACCUGCUAUCUUCGAUCUACCUCACGCCAAUACAUGAAGACAAGAUCUGCUUUCUGCGAUCUACUUCGCCACCAAUAUGGGAAGACAAGAUCUGCAUCUUGGAUCCACUUCCUAUCAAUAUAAGAAGAUAGGACCUGCUAUCUUCGAUCUACUUCACGCCAAUACAUGAAGACAAGAUCUGCUUUCUGCGAUCUACUUCGCCACCAAUAUGGGAAGACAAGAUCUGCGUCGUCGAUCCACUUCCAAUCAUUAUAGAAAGAUAGGACCUGUUAUCUUUGAUCUACUUCACGCCAAUACAUGAAGACAAGAUCUACUUUCUGCGAUCUACUUCGCCACCAAUAUGGGAAAACAAGAUCUGCAUCUUGGAUCCACUUCCUAUCAAUAUAGAAAGAUAGGACCUGCUACCUUCGAUCUACUUCACGCCAAUACAUGAAGACAAGAUUUGCUUUCUUCGAUCUACUUCGCCACCAAUAUGGGAAGACAAGAUCUGCAUCUUCGAUCCACUUCCUACCAAUAUAGGAAGAUAGGACCUGCUACUUUCGAUCUACUUCACGCCAAUACAUGAAGACAAGAUCUGCUUUCUUCGAUCUACUUCGCCACCAAUAUGGGAAGACAAGAUCUGCAUCUUCGAUCUACUUCGCCACCAAUAUGGGAAGACAAGAUCUGCAUCUUCGAUCCAUUUCCUACCAAUAUAGGAAAACCGGAUCAGCUAUCUUCGACCUACUUCACGCCAAUACAUGAAGACAAGAUCUGCUUUCUUCGAUCUACUUCGCCACCAAUAUGGGAAGACAAGAUCUGCAUCUUCGAUCUACUUCGCCACCAAUAUGGGAAGACAAUAUCUGCAUCUUCGAUCCACUUCCUACCAAUAUAGGAAAACCGGAUCAGCUAUCUUCGACCUACUUCACGUCAAUACAUGAAGACAAGAUCUACUUUCUUCGAUCUACUUCUUGUCCCGGGAGAUAGAACUAUCAGCUUCAAUGUACUCCACUGUGGUCAGGGAGGUAAAAUCUGCCAUCUUUUGAUCUGCUUCGCUGCCAAAUACAGGAAGGCAAGAUCUGCAAUCUUCAAUCUAUUCCACUGCCAAAUACAGGGAGAUAGAGUUAUCGGCUUCAAUGUACUCCACUGUAGUCACAUGGAGGUAAAAUCUGCCAUAUUUGAUCUUCAAUCUAUUCCACUGCCAAAUGCAGGGAGAUAGAGUUAUCGGCUUCAAUAUACUCCACUGUAAUCAGGGAGGUAAAAUCUGCCAUCUUUGAUCUGCUUCGCUGUCAAAUUCAGGAAGGCAAGAUCUGCAAUCUUCAAUCUGCUCUGCUACAAACGAGAGAGGCAAGGUUUGUCUUUGAUUUUUACUGAUCUGUUCUCUAGGGAACAUGACCUGUAUAAUGAACCUAAUUAUGCCUAAUGAUUAGGAUGGCAUGAUCAGAAUGGAUCAAAUGUUCCUAACUAGAUGUGCGUGAAUGACAUUUGAAUGAAUGCAGAAUGUCAUGAAAAUGAUUCCUUAAUGCUUAGGUUGUCAUUCCUCAUUGUUCAUCAAGGUUCUAUCACUGAUGCCUUCUUGUUCAGCCAGUACCUUUGAUAGAAAACCUAAAGAAAUAGACGCUAUUUAGACUAUCAUUUCUCAAAUGUUUCCAACCCUUAGGUUUGGUUAGUUCUAAACAAUAGUCUUGUUUCAGGUCCUCGUAUUAUUUAGAAACUUUCAGAGUAAUAUGCAGAACUCCUUCUGCCUGUGUAUUGUCAGUCCAUUAAUCGUUAUUUCAAUGAAAAAUGCUUGAAAAAGAUUAUCAAAAUGGACAAAAUGAAAUUUUGUUGAGAGCAAAGCUCUUAAACAAACAAAUCAAUCAAGAUAGCAAAUUUUGCUGAGAUACGAGAUGAAUAAGAUGAAAAAGAUUAUCACAAUGGAUAAGACGAAAAUUUGUUGAGAGCAAAGCUCUAAAUGAACAAAUUAAUCAAGAUAGCAAAUUUUGCUAAAGUACAGAACGAGGAUAAAUUAAUCAAGAUGAUGUAUUUUGUCAAAAAUACAAAAAAUGAAUAAAAUGGAAAUAGGUGCCCCAGAUAUCGUAGCAUGAGCUUCUCUGCCCCAAACUUCUUAAGGACCCUUUUGAACUUGAUAUGUGUUUAGAAGUCCUAGAAGGCUUUGUUGAUGCCCCAUCUUUGAUCGAAAACUACUUUAUGCCUCAUCUUUGAUCGAAAAUUUGAAUUGCCCAUUCCUGGGUUUUCAAUUCAAAACCCCUUUGGUCUCAAGGUGCCCUUUGCGGGUUUUCGCCUUGGCCUCUCCUUUUUUUUUUUAGGCAAAGUACCUCUUCACUGAAUCCGAAUUCACAGGAUUGGGCAAGCUUUUGCCAUCCAUCCCAGUUAAAAUUAAUGCCCCUCCUGAAAAGGCCUUUUUUACUACAUAAGGUCCCUCCCAGUUUGGCAUCCACUUUCCUCUGAAGUCUUUUUGUAUGGGAAGGAUCUUCUUCAGUACCAAAUCCCCUUCAUGGAAGUUUCUAGGACGAACUUUCUUAUUGUAAGCUCGCAUCAUUUGUUUCUGGUACAUUUGACCAUGACGGAUAGCUCUUAACCUCCUUUCUUCAAUCAAGUUCAGCUGAUCAUAUCGGGAUUGGACCCAUUCUGCUUCGUCUAACUUUAGUUCUGAAAAAACUCGGAGGGAGGGAAUUUUAACCUCAAUUGGUAGCACUGCCUCCAUUCCAUAAACCAAAGAGAAUGGUGUUGCCCCGGUAGAAGUCCUGACGGACGUUCGAUAAGCAUAGAGGGCGAAUGGCAACUUCUCGUGCCAAUCUCUAUAGGUCUCAGUCAUUUUCUCCACAAUCCUUUUGAUAUUUUUAUUGGCUGCCUCCACCGCACCAUUCAUCUUUGGACGGUAUGGUGAUGAGUUGUGGUGCUUGAUAUUGAAUUGACUACAAACCUCUACUAUCGUGCUAUUAUUCAAAUUUAAUGCGUUGUCAGAUAUAAUCCUUUCGGGCAUUCCAUACCGACAUAUGAUUUCCUUUUUUAAAAACCUGCUGACAGCUGCCUUUGUGACGUUCGCGUAAGAAGUAGCCUCUACCCACUUAGUAAAGUAGUCAAUCACUACAAAAAUGAAACGAUGUCCGUUUGAAGCCUUUGGCGAUAUCAGCCCAAUGACGUCCAUGCCCCACAUGGAGAAAGGCCAUGGGGAAGUCAUGACGUGAAGAGGUGAUGGAGGCACAUGGAUUUUGUCUCCGUAAAUCUGGCAUUUAUGGCACUUCUUAGCAUAUUUGAUGCAGUCUCCUUCCAUGGUAGACCAAUAAUAUCCAAAUCUCAUGAUUUGUCUGGCCAUUGUGAAACCGUUAGCGUGUGUUCCACAAAUACCAUCAUGGACUUCUUCCAAGAUCUGUUUGGCCUCCACAGCGUCCACACAUCUUAACAGCACCUGAUCUUUUCCUCCUUUGUACAGGAUCUCUCCAUCUAAGACGUAAUCACUGGCCAGCCUCCUCAACAUUCUCUUGUCAUUCUCAGUUGCUUGGUUUGGGUAUUCACGAUUUUUCACGUAUCGCAAUAUGUCCUGGUACCAAGGGUUGUCGUCCUUUUCUUCUUCCUUGUCAAUGUUACAACAGUGGGCUGGAGCAUCAUAAAUGCUCAUUUGGAUAGGUUUCACAUCCUCUGGUCUAUUUACUUUGAUCAUGGAAGCUAAUGUAGCUAAAGCGUCAGCCAUCUGAUUCUCGUCUCGUGGGAGGUAACAAAAAGUGAUGUCGUCAAACUCCUCAAUCAAUUCUAGGACUAUCAUUCGGAAACUAAUCAACUUAGGGUCUCUUGUUUCCCAUUCGCCUUUGAGCUGAUAAAUUACCAAUGCCGAAUCCCCACAUACCUCAAGUACCUUGAUUUUGCGUUCCAUAGCCGCACGGAUUCCCAUUAUACAUGCUUCAUAUUUCGCCAUGUUAUUUGCGUAAUCAAAAUCUAGUUUACUGGUGAAAGGAUAAUGAUCACCGUUUGGAGAUACCAAGACUGCCCCAAUCCCGUUGCCCAUGGCAUUUGAGGCUCCGUCAAAAUUUAAUUUCCAAGUAUUGCCUUCUUGUGUGCUUGCUUCAGUAGUUGCCACAUACAUCAGAUCCUCAUUUGGGAAAUCAAAGUUCAAAGGCUCAUAAUCGUCCAGGGUUCUACUUGCUAGAAAAUCUGCUAUCGCGCUCCCUUUUACAGCCUUUUGAUUCACAUAGGUUAUGUCAAAUUCAGAUAGUAGAAUUUGCCAUCGGGCCAUCCUUCCGUUUAGAGCAGUUGACUCCAUCAUGUAUUUCAGAAGGUCUAACUUUGAGAUUAACCAAGUCGUAUGGUACAACAUGUAUUGUUUCAAUCUCCGAGUAGUCCAAACCAAUGCGCAACAUAAUUUUUCAAUUGGCGAAUAUCUCGUUUCGUAUUCAGUGAACUUCUUACUGAGAUAAUAGAUCGCUCUUUCCUUUCGUCCUGACUCAUCAUGUUGGCCGAGCACGCACCCCAUAGAAUUCUCAAAUACUGCCAAGUAUAGUAUCAGUGGCUUGUCAGGGCAAGGUGGCAUCAGUACUGGGGCGUUGGACAAGUAAUGUUUAACUCUUUCGAAAGUUUUCUGGCACUCUUUAUCCCAUACACCUGGAUUGUGUUUCCUACGAAGACGGAAUAUGGGGUCACAUUUCUUAGUUAAUUGUGAAAUGAAUCGAGCGAUGUAAUUUAGUCUUCCUAGGAAACCCCGAACUUCUUUUUGAGUACUUGGCGGAGAUAAUUCUUGUAUGGCCUUAACUUUGUCUGGGUCAAUUUCAAUUCCUUUUUCGCUGACUAAGAAUCCUAGCAAUUUUCCUGAUCUAGCCCCGAAAGUACACUUGGCUGGGUUAAGUUUUAGCUGGAACUUCCUUAACCUUAGAAACAGUUUUCUCAGAACUUGCACGUGUUCCCCUUCUGUUCUGGAUUUUGCGAUCAUAUCAUCAACAUAAACUUCUAUCUCUUUAUGCAUCAUAUCAUGGAAUAAUGCUACCAUGGCUCUCUGAUACGUUGCUCCCGCAUUUUUCAAUCCAAAAGGCAUCACUUUAUAACAAAACGUCCCCCACAUCGUUAUGAAUGUGGUAUUCUCCCUGUCUUCAGAAAGCAUCUUAAUUUGGUUGUACCCGGAGAAACCAUCCAUGAAAGAGAACAGUGAGUAUCCGGCCGUGUUGUCUACCAAGGUAUCGAUAUGAGGCAGUGGGAAAUUAUCUUUUGGGCUGGCUUUGUUCAAGUCUCUGUAGUCCACACACAUUCGCACCUUCCCAUCUUUCUUAGGAACAGAGACUAUAUUGGCUACCCAUUCUGAGUACUUGACCACCUGUAAGAAACCAGCAUCAAAUUGCUUCUUAACUUCUUCCUUUAUUUUUAGCAAGACAUCAGGCCUCAUCCUUCGGAGCUUUUGUUGGACUGGUUUGCAUUCUUCUUUUAUAGGCAAUCGGUGUACCACGAUAUCAGUACUUAACCCUGGCAUAUCUUGGUAGGACCACGCGAAGACAUCUUUAAACUCUUGAAGCAACUCAACAAGGUCUUGCCUUGUUUCCUUGGCAAUGCAAGCGCCAAUUUUUACCUCUCUGCCCUCUUCUAAGAUCACAACUUCUACUGAUUCCUUAUAGGGUAGAAUUUGUUUUUCUUCUUCUUCCAUCAUUCUUAACAAAUCCGGAGAUAAAACGCUGUCUUGGUCACCUUCAAAAUCUUGAGGAUCAUCUAUACUCAUGUCUUGCUCAAAUAGGGACUCUGAAUUAGUAACAGAGUCACUCAUCUCGUUGAUAUCUGAAGACCUGUUAUUGGAACAAAUGGAGGCCCAAAUAAAAGGAUCUAAGAAUACUUGUAUGCAUAUUAUGAUUAUAAAGGGAAUGAAAAGAAUGAAAGAAUAUUUGCUCAAGAUGAAACUGAAUGAUAAGUUUUCACUGAAAUUAGAUUUUGGACAUGUGCCUUUUACAAAAGAUUCUUAUCACCCCCAGGCUUAGGGCAACACGUGUUCUGAAUAUUACUCUAGAUUAGCUCUAAAAAUACAGGGAUCUCUUCCACAGUCCCAUUGUUCAAAACACUCCUAAAUAUGCAAAAGUUUGGAGACUUUUAUUCCUCAGUUCCCUUUUCGGAUAUAUCAUUGAAAUUCCUCGAUAUUCCUUUCAGGCUUUUGACUUGUUCAAGGCAUUACAACUCUUUGCUCAUUAUCGUGUAACGUAAAGAUGCCUAGUCAUUUGACUUUUGUCGGUUUCCAAGUUAACUGGGAUAAUUUUACCUAAUUAGGGUCCUUUUAGGGAAAGUCUAAUGCAAAAUAAAGCAAUGCAAUGCAAAUGCAUGAAAUGAAUGCAAAAGAAAGGAAGGCGUUGAUUCUAAAUUUAAUUCUAUUAGAAUAAUUUUUCUAAAAAAUAGAUUUUUUUACAUGAAAAUAGUUUACAUAUGUGGUAUUGCCCUUCAUAGUCCAAGUAAACGCUGAUAUUUUCUUCAUGGUUAAACCCUGUAAAUUCUCCAAAAGAUGCAUUUGCUAGCUCCUUACUGCUUAAUCUGAGCCUCGAUCUCUUGCUCGCUUAUCUUCAAGAUACUCAUCAAAAAGUGCCAGCUCUUGGAUAAUCUUCGUUGGCAAUUAAAUCAAGUCAUGUAUUCCUUCGUGGACUUCCGGCUUUCUCUCGUCAUGCCUUCGUUGGCUUGAAUCUCUAGAAAUUACAUUAUGUAUUCCUCCGUGAACUACCAGCUUUCUCUCAUCGUGUUUACUCAGACUAUAUUCAGACGACCGCACUAUAAUCCACUUUAUCAAGAAAUUCGCUUCCUUAUGACAAACUAUUCUAUUUAGGAAUCGAAUUUCGAAUCAACACAUUCUUUUCUUUGAUGUAAUGCAAAUACAUGAAUGCAAAAAAAAAGGAAGACAUUGAUUCUGAAUUUAAUUUCAUUGGAACAACUUUUCUAGAAAACAAAUUCCUUUACAUAAAACGGACUACAUACACGGUCUUUCUCUCAUAUUCCAAGUGAAGACACCUUUCUUCCUCUUCAUAUCUGGAUCUUAUGGUCGAGUCUGACGAAUUCUCCAAGAGAUGUCUAUAUUAACUCCUUUUUUGCUUGAUCCAGGCUGCGACUCGUUGCUCACUUAUUUCUAUGAUACUUUUCAGCUCUUUUAAGAAAGUCAAGACAUGACAGCUCUCGAAUAAUCUUUGUUAGUUUCUGUCUUUAGGCAAUGAAGCAAAGUCUUGUAUUUCUUCACGGACUAUCAGCCUUCUUUCAUGUAUUCACUUGGACCAUAUUUAGACAACCGUGUUAUAAUCCACUUUAUCAAAAAAAAUUGUUUUCUUAUGACAAACUGUUCUAUUUAGCAAUCAAAUAUGAAUCAACACCUCCUUCCUAGGAUGAUGUAAUACAAUGCAAUUAUAAACAAAAAAAACAAAACACGUUAGUGCAGAAUAAAUAACAAAUAAAGCAAUUCGGGUGACCACUAGGGGUUUGGAGUGGCUCUACGUAGGGUAGGCUCCUAGGUCUCUCUAUAUGUGGUUUGGUUCUUGAGUAAGGGUACCUGAACCAACAGAUUCCUCGAUCCUCACCCAUUAUAGGCUCAUAUGGACCGAGUUCAGUUCAGGGGAAUACAUUUCCCUAUGGCCAUGCGGAGAUGAAAAUCUCACGAAGACAUAGGUACGGAUGUAUCCCGGAAGCGAUUCACUAUCCCAUGCGGAGGUGAAAACCUCACGAAGGCGUAGUUUCUCACUCCCACUAAAAAGGGUAUGACCAGCGGUCAUGCAAUGUAAUGUGCGAAGGUAUAAAAUAAAAUACAGAACACGAUAAAAAAUAUAACUCAGAACAAAAGAGAUGCAAUGAGAGGAUCGUAAAUUUAAAUCGAAUUUUCAACUUUCGACAAAAGACAAGAAAUAAUCAACACGUGGCUUGACUCUCUUAUUGUCCCCAGUGGAGUCGCCAAGCUGUUGACACCAUUUUUUUGUUAAAAAACGGGGUCGACUUGGAUUUUGAAAAAAAGAAUGAAAACGGGAGUCGCCACCAAUCCUUUUUUGAUGAGGUGUGAUCAGGUCACCUCAAAAAGUGGUUGUUUUUAAUAAAUGAUUUAAUUUUAUUAAAACAACGAUUUUGGUCUACGAAAUUUAGAAAAAUGAGUUCGGGAAUCGGUUACGCACGAGGAAGGAUUAGCACCCUCGACACGCCCAAAAUUGGUACCUUAGUUGAUUACAUAAUGUCUUAAUGUCGAAAAUUGAGAAUUUUGAAAAUUUUUAAAAAUUUUUACGAUCCUUAUAUUAAAACAUAAAAAAAAAUUCAGGAAAAGGGACAUAUUUCACGUUAUCUGAGAAAAAAAGAAUCAUAUCCAGUAAGUUAGGACACAAUGUCUCGAAUUCCCGAUAUCGUUUAAAACUCGAAUUUGAAAAGAUUCAUGUAAUAAAGUUUAAAAGAAUAUUCAAUUGUUUAAAUCAAAUAAAGAAAUCGCAACCCAAUACGUUAGGGCACAAUUUCUCAAAAUAUUAAACAUUGAAUAUUGCAUUUAUUUCGAAAAAUCCUUGUCUCGAGAAAGCAACGUGUCACAUCCAAUGCGUUAGGACACAACAUAUUAAAUUCUUGAUAACGAGCUUUUUAUCAUUUUUUUAAAGAGUAAUCUCGAUUAUUUAAAUUCAACGAAGAAAGUCGGAACCCAAUGCAUUAGGGCUCGAUUCUCUCGAAGAUCUAAAUAUCGAAUAUUACUUUUAUUUUAAAAUUUCAUUUUUGGCCAAUCCGAUUGAAAAGAUACGAUGUGACAACAAUGAUGAUAAUGUAAGUAAAAUAACACGAGCAAAACAUAAGAUAAAUAAAUAAUAAAACGAAGAAAACAAUCAAAAAGGCACAAUAACAAAUAAUAAACAAAUAAAAACUAAAACAUGAAUAACAAGCAUUUAAACAAAUAAAUAAAUGAACAAAAUGAUCCAAAAAAAAAUUAUGAAAAGUUAAAAGACAUAUAUAUAUGUACAAAAUUAUGAAAAUAUAAAAAAAAAACAUAUGUGUGUACACAUGAAUUAUAAACCAUAGAAAUAUCAUAAGAAAAUAUAAAUUUUUAAAAUAUAAGAGUAUGUAUAAAUACAUAUAUGCAUAUUUAUGAAAAAUAAAAGAGAUACAUGUAAGUACGUAUAUACAUAAAAAAUUUAAAAUGCAAAUAUAAAUAUAUUCAUGUAUAUAAGAAUAAUAAUAAAAGGCGUAUAUAUAUGCAUGUGAAUAUUAAGUAUGUACAUAUGAAUGUAUAUAAUAUAUAUAUAAACUAUAUAUAUAAAAAAAAUAUGGUAAUGAAAUAUAUACGCACUAUAUAUAUUUAAAACAUUUAGAAAUAAAAAUAUACACAUACAUUAUAAAGUACACAUGCGUGUAUGUAUGUAAGUAUAAUAAAAAAAUAAUAAUAGUAAUAAUAAUAAUAAUAAUAAUAACUAUAUUAAUAAAAUAAACUAAAAACUUAAAAUGAAAGAUUAUGGAUUAAAUUGAAAAUAAUUGAAGUUUCAGGGGCAAAUCUGAAACAAACAAAACACCAAUGAAUCGAAUGGAACAUGCAGUUAACAGUGGAGGACCGAAAGUCAAAUUAAUCCCUCCGUCCAAAACUCCACGCAGCAAUGGAUUAAAAUAAAACAAAUUCGACAUUUCAUGGCAAAAUUUGAAAACAAACCGCAAUGAUUUUGAACUGAUGGGAUAAAAUGAAGGAUUAAAACGCAAAUAACCCAUCAGUGUUUAAAACCCUUUUCAUCUCCAAUUAAAAGCCUACUCUGCAGCAGCAAUAGACGCAAAGUUGCUUCAUCUUCCUUUUUUCUUUUUUUGUUUUAAAACAACAGAGGGAAGAAAGAGGGAUCUGCUAGGCCUUCUUUAAAGCCCUAACUACCGCCACGCCACCGCCUUUCAAGCUUCGCCGCCGAUUCCGAUUCAGGUAAGUUUCGCCCUUUCCUUUUUUGCCUUUUCUUUUGCACCAAAAACAGAGAAGCAAAGAGAAAAAAAAAUAAAAUAAAUAAAACACAAAGAAAAUUACCUUCAAAAAUUGUUUUUGAUUCUUUGUUUGUAUUUCAGUAUUUUUCCAAUACAAUAUUUUUCUCUUUUUAGUACCCAAUCCCCCUUUUCUUUGUGAUCGAUUUUGGCUUUUUAAAACCGAUCUAUAAAACAUUCAUUUCCUAUUUUUUGUUUUCGUUCUUUUGUUUAUUCUUUUCCCCAUUCCUCGCAUGCUUCCUUUUGCUGUUGUUUUUGUCUCUGUUGCAGGUGUGUCCGGUGGGGGUGGUGCACGUGAUGGCCAAGGGCAGAGGUAGCAUGGGGCGACUGAUCAGAGGCGUGCAUGCGUGAGGGGAGGUGAAGCGGCGGCAGCUACAAAGCAUGAGGCUAGGGUUUUUUUGUUUGGUUGAAAACUAGUAUAGUUUGGGCCAUUCGGGCCUCUAAGGUUUUUAUCAUUAUUGGGCAUUUGGAUUGGGUCUGUUUUUUGGGUUAAUUUUGUUGUAAUGGUCUGUUAAUUUUUAUUAGUCUUGGUCCAUUUGGGUUUUAUGGUCUGGGCCCGGGCAAAAAUGGGCUUUUACACUAAAUAAUAAAAAAUGUUAUUUUGAAAACUUACAUUAAUCCUGAAAAUGUAAGAUUACUUAAACCCAACAGUAGCAUAAACUAAUACUGAUUGCAAUUCCGUUUACUCUUUGUUUGAUGGUUCUCCUAAGGCCUGUAGAA
rnacentral:lncRNA from 1 species